CAUUGACAAGACAUUCGCGUGACCGCUACAACAAUGGAAAUUCCUGUCCUCAAAGAUGGAAGGCAGGCGGGAGAAGGUGAAAUCAGGAUGUUGCAGCAACUGCAAGCAAACACUCAGGCAAGUGCACUGCAGUCUGGAUGUAUACCACAAACUGUCAGAACCAAGAUCAGAGAAACUAAACAGGACGUCUCUGUCUGAAGCCUGUCGCAUG